CAGCAAAGUAUUCAAUCACGAAAUACACAAGGGGAAGUAGUGAAUUGGGGAAAAUUGAAAACUGAAAUGACAUUUCAGGAAGCAAUAGCUAGGGUGCAACUGAAUGGGAGGAGAAUUUUUUUUCCUUUUUUUUUUUACAUCGACUGUUUUCAGGAUAGAUUUUGCAAUUGGAUUUAAUAAUUCACUACAAUUCAUGCUUUCAUGAAUACAUCCCACUGUGUUCUAGCCUGAGUUCUGCUGCCAUCUUCUGGACACAUUAGAGAACUGUACAAAAGGACCCUACAUUAAACUUGUCACUCCUAUGAAAUGUCACAUAGCAAGGUGUCUACCAACCCCUCAUUCUGUCAUCCUGAAUGGGUUUAAUAUUGGUCAGUGCCAGUUGGGAAGCCCUAUCUAUGAUAAAGCUCAGCUCAAAUAUGGACCAGUUUUAUCUGACCUCUGAACUUGCCAAAUCUAGUGAAUCUAUUCUGUUUUUCUCAUCACGGUUCCUUUUUUCUGAUUGGCAAUACAGUGUUGUCUUGUGUGAUGUGUAAUCUAU